rnacentral:misc_RNA from 1 species
AUCCAAAUUCCUCUGAAUCGUAUUGAAUCCCAGCUCAACGAAGAUACAAUUCAAAAUAAGAAACAGGACACAGGUUACUGUAGCUUGAUUGUCAAAAUUGUGGACAAAGUAGAUCUUUUCGUAACAUGCGGACAUCAUCGAAAACGUUAAGGAAACUCUUUACAAUUUGUUUUAUUCUCGUCACUCUGUUGCUUGGAAUCCACGUGUGGAUAUCAAAUGAUGCAACCGAAGCCGCGAAGACACAGGAACCGUACCAGUUUCUGGCCAAGGACUUGAAAUACAACAAAAAUUCGACUUUGACUUUACAUGGGGCUUUCAAAAAUCGAAUUAAUUCUGAUAUUAUUCUGGAAAUCGAUAAUAUAUCAUCGGUAAUCAAAGAUAUAAUACAUGACUAUGAAGGCAGGAAAGCCUCGCAGAGAGCCCUGUUAAUGACCCAAAGGGAGAAAUUCGGUGCCAGUGCUCCAAAAAAUGCGACACUCGUCUCCUACUCUCCGCUUUAUAGGUCUUCAGAAAGAAACGUUACCCAACCACAACAGCUCAGUUUUCUGGGUAAGCAGAGACACAACCUAGAAAAUGUCAACUGUCGACUUCUUUUUGAAGGCGACACAAACGAAGUGGCAAAAGCAAAACGAUUGAGCAAAUCGUUUCCGAAGUCUGAUCCGGGAAAGACAUUUGCAAGUCAGACAAGAAAUUGUUCUGCUUUUGUACAUUCCCGGGGAUACAUGAUGGACUCCUUGACCGAGGAGGAAAAUAACUUUCCCCUGGCCUAUGGCAUCAUGGUCUAUAAGAGCCCGGAACAGUUUGAAAUCCUACUCAGGGCCAUCUACCGACCGCAGAAUAUCUAUUGUGUUCACGUGGACAAGAAAACGACGAGCGUCGUCUUCAAAGAGUUUGAGAGCAUUGCUCAUUGCUUCCCAAACGUAUUCCUGGCUUCCACGAGAAUAGCUGUGCACUGGGGAUACGUCAGUGUUCUAACGCAAGAAUUAGUUUGUAUGAAGGACCUACUCAAAUACAAAAAGUGGAAGUAUUUUAUUAAUCUGACUGGCCAGGAAUUUCCUCUUCGGACUAAUUACGAGCUUGUGAAGAUAUUGAAAAUUUAUAACGGUGCAAAUGAUUUAGAAGGAACUGUUCAACGGUAAGAAAGAGUGUCAGUUUGAGUAAGUAGUUCUAGGAAUUAAUUAAUCAUCACAUCAUGGCUGAGUUCCAGUCACACAACCAUUGAGAUCCUUAAAAUUGACAAAUUUCGUAUAAUCAUAUCCGUGUAUUAUACUGGUAAUUCAUUUUAGAGGGAUUUUUUCAAGACUUUUUUCAAUAUGUCAUCAGUAUAUUGCUCUUGCCAUUGAAACCAAGCGAGUGUAGGUUUACUUUUCUUCAAAUUAUUCAAUGGCAAUAAACCAAAAUGUUAACAUUUGUUCAGAUAAUAAAUGGCUUGACCUUUCAGUUUAACCGUUUUUAUUUUUCAACGGAUUUAAAAGCAUCAAGAGGAAUGCAUUCAUAUAAAUCUGUAAUCUAUACCCUGAAAGUGUAUUGAGACUUGUUGGUGGUCUAACUAUGUGACAACCGAACAAAAACUCAUAUACUACCUGAUAGUAAAACAAUUUUUUCAAGAAAAGCAGAUGAACAUGGUUUUUAGCAGUUUAGUGGUACACAAAACAUGGUAUUAGGUUAAAAAAAAGAGGUAAUAUAAAGCUAUAUUUAUGCCGUAUUCAUUCGUUAUUUUUUUUUUUUUUUGCAGUGUCGGAACUUUAUUUCGUACGAUAAGCUAUAUUAGAUCUAAAGAGAACCUUCUGACAAACUGCAUGAAACAUCUCUCAAUGAAUUGUUUUUUAACUCCGCUUGAUCAUAACAACAAAUCGUUUGAACGGGACACUGCCUUAAUUUUAGUUGGUAUCAAUAACAAGUUAACUAUUUUAUUUUUCGUGUUUAUAGUGAUAAACUUAAUUAUUUAUAAAGCUUAAGCGAAACUGAAUGUCGGUUGUCUAGUUGCUAGCGAGAUACAAAGAUCGCAAUUCCUUGCUAUGUAAACAAAACACGUACCCUGUUUUGGUUUACAAAUAAGUUACUGCAACGUGAAUUUCAAAUUUGAAGCCAAAAUCUUACAAACUUGAAAAACUUGGAUUUUGCUCAAAAUAUUUUUUAUAUAGAAGAAAUGGUUUAAAUGUGAAUCUUUGACUAUUAAAAAGGUUAUGUAAACAAAUACUUGGCACUAAUCUUGUAUACCAAACAGAGAAUUGCGAACCCUUUAUCUUGCAACUCGACAGCUUCUAUUUAAAUUUUUAAUACUUUGGAAAUGGUAUUCAAAAUACAUGUAUAAGAAAUGGGUUUUUUUUUUCUUGAAAAUUUUCAGUUGAAAUCAUUAUCAAUUUCAUUAAUAAAUGAUAAAUUUUUGGAGCUGCUCCGUGCAUUUUUGCGUUUCUAACUGAAGGAGACCACUUGGGUUUUGAUUGAAAAUUCAUUCAUUAUCAUAGAACAGACCAAGAAUAAAUUGCGUUACCUAUAUAAACGCUUACCUGAAAAAUGUCUUUUCUUAACGUUCAUUUCGACUUGUGAACACGAUUCUGUCGAGAACAUACAAUGUGGUCAAAUAAGUGAAGUAAAAUACCCGUACCUGUAAAUUGCGUCAAACAUACCGGUAUCUUUGAUACUCAGAGACAUUAUAGUAAGCCAGCAGUUCAGAUGCUUAAGUUACAUCUCGCUUACUUACUAACGCUAACUGGCGAAAACCGAAAGAAAAACAUAGAGCAAAAAACUACAUUCACCCCCCCCCCCC